rnacentral:rRNA from 1 species
UACGUAGGGUGCGAGCGUUAAUCGGAAUUACUGGGCGUAAAGAGUGCGUAGGCGGAGAUACAAGUUAGAUGUGAAAUCCCCGGGCUUAACCUGGGAAUGGCAUUUAAGACUGUAUGUCUAGAGUUAGUAAGAGGAUGGGAGAAUUCCGAGUGUAGCAGUGAAAUGCGUAGAGAUUCGGAGGAAUAUCGGUGGCGAAGGCGCCCAUCUGGGAUAUAACUGACGCUGAGGCGCGAAAGCGUGGGGAGCAAACAGG